rnacentral:rRNA from 1 species
GACGAACGCUGGCGGCGUGCUUAACACAUGCAAGUCGAACGGUAAGGCCCUUCGGGGUACACGAGUGGCGAACGGGUGAGUAACACGUGGGUGAUCUGCCCUGCACUUCGGGAUAAGCCUGGGAAACUGGGUCUAAUACCGGAUAGGACUCCGGACUGCAUGGUCUGGGGUGGAAAGCUUUUGCGGUGUGUGAUGGGCCCGCGGCCUAUCAGCAUGUUGGUGGGGUGAUGGCCUACCAAGGCGACGACGGGUAGCCGGCCUGAGAGGGUGACCGGUCACAAUGGGAGUGAGAUACGGCCCAGACUCCUAGGGGAGGCAGCAGUGGGGAAUAUUGCACAGUGGGCGCAAGCCUGAUGCAGCGACGCCGCGUGAGGGAUGACGGCCUUCGGGUUGUAAACCUCUUUCAGCUAUGACGAAGCGCAAGUGACGGUAGUAGCAGAAGAAGGACCGGCCAACUACGUGCCAGCCGCCGCAGUAA